rnacentral:rRNA from 1 species
UACGUAGGGUGCAAGCGUUAAUCGGAAUUACUGGGCGUAAAGCGUGCGCAGGCGGUUGUGCAAGACAGAUGUGAAAUCCCCGGGCUUAACCUGGGAACUGCAUUUGUGACUGCACAGCUGGAGUGCGGCAGAGGGGGAUGGAAUUCCGCGUGUAGCAGUGAAAUGCGUAGAUAUGCGGAGGAACACCGAUGGCGAAGGCAGGUCUCUGGGCAUUAACUGACGCUGAGGAGCGAAAGCAUGGGGAGCGAACAGU